rnacentral:rRNA from 1 species
GACAGAGGGGGCAAGCGUUGUUCGGAAUUACUGGGCGUAAAGGGUGCGUAGGCGGCCUUUCAAGUGGAAUGUUAAAUCCCUGAGCUUAACUCAGGAAUCGCAUUUUAGACUGUUAGGCUUGAGAAUGGGAGAGGAAAAUGGAAUUCCUAGUGUAGAGGUGAAAUUCGUAGAUAUUAGGAGGAACACCAGAGGCGAAGGCGAUUUUCUGGAACAUUUCUGACGUUGAGGCACGAAAGCGUGGGGAGCAAACAGG